rnacentral:rRNA from 1 species
AUUGAACGCUGGCGGCAGGCUUAACACAUGCAAGUCGAGCGGAGAGAGGUAGCUUGCUACUGAUCUUAGCGGCGGACGGGUGAGUAAUGCUUAGGAAUCUGCCUAUUAGUGGGGGACAACAUUUCGAAAGGAAUGCUAAUACCGCAUACGUCCUACGGGAGAAAGCAGGGGAUCUUUGGACCUUGCGCUAAUAGAUGAGCCUAAGUCGGAUUAGCUAGUUGGUGGGGUAAAGGCCUACCAAGGCGACGAUCUGUAGCGGGUCUGAGAGGAUGAUCCGCCACACUGGAGCUGAGACACGGCCCAGACUCCUACGGGAGGCAGCAGCGGGGAAUAUUGGACAAUGGGCGCAAGCCUGAUCCAGCCAUGCCGCGUGUGUGAAGAAGGCCUUAUGGUUGUAAAGCACUUUAAGCGAGGAGGAGGCUACUUUAGUUAAUACCUAGAGAUAGUGGACGUUACUCGCAGAAUAAGCACCGGCUAACUCUGUGCCAGCCGCCGCCGUAACAC